GCCGUGAUAGCUCAGUGGUAGAACAUCGAACUUGUUUUUCGGAGGUUGUAGGUUCGAUUGCUGCUCACGGCA